AGCGGAGGAAAAGAAACUAACCAGGAUUCCCCUAGUAGCGGCGAGCGACCGGGAUAAGCCCAACUUGAAAAUCUCCGUCCUUCGGGCGGCGAAUUGUAGUCUAGAGAGGUGUUCUCUGCGGCGGGCCGUGCCCAAGUCCCUUGGAAGGGGGCGUCCGAGAGGGUGAUAACCCCGUCGGCCACGGUCUCAGCCGCUCCACGAGGCGCUUUCGCAGAGUCGGGUUGUUUGGGAAUGCAGCCCAAAGCAGGUGGUAAGUCCCAUCUAAGGCUAAAUACUGACGGGAGACCGAUAGCGAACAAGUACCGCGAGGGAAAGAUGAAAAGAACUUUGAAAAGAGAGUUAAAAAGUGCUUGAAAUUGUUGGGAGGGAAGGGAUUGGAGGUCGUGGGUGCGCCCAGGCUCACGCCGGCUGUACGGCCGGCUGUAUGUGCUGGGCGCUGGUCAGCAUCGGUUAGUCGGGCGGGACAACAGCGGCCUUUGAUCGGCCGCCCCUGUCGCCCGGCUGUCCGAGGAAUGAAGGGCGCUCUCGGCCUUCGGGACCUGCGCUCUCAGGAUGCUGGCGGAAGGCCUCCAAUCUGCCCGUCUUGAAACACGGACCAAGGAGUACAACAUGCAUGCGAGCUGGUGGGCGGAAAACCCACGAAGCGCAAGUAACCUGACUGGUGGGAUGGCCUGUGCCUGCACCAUCAACCGACCAUGAUCUUCUGUGAAAGGUUUGAGUGCGAGCAUGUUUGUUGUGACCCGAAAGAUGGUGAACUAUGCCUGAGCAGGGCGAAGCCAGAGGAAACUCUGGUGGAGGCUCGUAGAUGUGCUGACGUGCAAAUCGCUUUUCGGACUUGGGUAUAGGGGCGAAAGACUAAUCGAACCUUCUAGUA
rnacentral:rRNA from 1 species